GAGGAGACGACAGAGGAAACGAAAGAGGAGACGACAGAGGAGACGACAGAGGAGACGACAGGAGACGACAGAGGAGACGACAGAGGAGACGCUGUUGGAGUGUGAGACACGCCCAGCUCCCAUGAGGCCGAGCGGAAAAAUCUGUUCUCAGCAGCAGCGACACAUCGUGGAGGACUCACAAAGACCAAAAGACCUAAACACAUCCAUUAGCAUGAGACUGAAAGAUUCAGUUGGUCCCUGGAGUCUCGCUUCAGUUGGAGAUGGAGGAAGUCGUUACUAACAUCCAUCUGCUACAGGACACUCACAUGGAGUGAGGAAGAGGAAGAGUAGGAGGAAGAGGAAGAGGAAGAGUAGGAGGAAGAGGAAGAGGAAGAGUAGGAGGAAGAGGAAGAGUAGGAGGAAGAGGACGAGGAUGAGGAAGAGAGAAAGGACGAGGAUGACUUUACAACUGAAAUGAGAGAAUCACUGUGUGAGUAACUCUACUCUCCAGUUACACACUCUCCAGUUACACACACACACACACACACAGAGUGUGUGUGUGUGUGUGUGUGUGUGUGUGUGUCGCAGGACAGAGGAUAUUUUUAGCAGCGCGGAGAGAAAUAAUUCAGUGCGAUCACAGAGCAGCUCGUUCAGCUUCUCCCUGACGGAGGAGAGGACCCCCCCCCCCCCUCCCCAGGUAGGGGUGGUUAGGCUCUGCCUCCUGGAUCGUAGGCGUGAAACAGGAAGCAGCUGAGACUUUUAAUACGAUGUUCGGAGACGUCGUGACACGUCAGGUCAUUUUCAGUGUGUCGUCGCUAAGGGCAACGACAGAAACGUCCUCAGAUCUACUUCCGGUUUCGUCCAGUGACCAUCUGAACACCCCUGACCCCUGACCUUCUGCUGCCUCUCUUAUAAUCAUCACAGUUUUCAGUCUUUUAGUCUUUUAUGAUAAUUGAUUCAUGUUAAACCUCACGUGAUCAAUAAAGUUUCAGAUUGUUGGAGCUUCACUCGGGAUCACGGUGCGUUAACGGUUCAGUUACCGUCAACCACAACCAGAGUCCGGUACCUGUCCGCUCUCACUCACCUGUGUGCGGAUCAUGGACGCAGUCAGAGGAGUUUCCGAUCCGGUGGAAGUCCUCUCGUGAGCUCCGUCUCUUCACGGGGAUGGAGCGCGGGACAGGGCGGGACCGAGAACCGGGGAGAGUUCUCCGAGGACGGGCUGGGCGGACGAGAUGACGCGUCGAGCUGCCGGAGGAGAAGGACCAACAGACCGGAUGUUGGACUGGAGCCCUUCAAAAUAAGUGACAAAUAAAAUCAGAGGGGACGUCGGUGAACCAGAACCAGUUUUAUUGGAUCAUUGGUUCGGUUCUUCAUACUGUGACGUCAUGACCUCAUUAUGUAAAGUGACUUAAUGUCUGUUGUGAUUUGAUGAUAUACAAAUAAAACUGAAAUGAAUUGUA